UAGUGAGCGAUCGACCAAAUCGCAGGUGAGUGGCUGCGACCGCGUACAAUUUAUUUAUAUAAACGCCGAGUCACCGGUUAUUAAUGAGAACUGCCGCCUCCUUCUAUCAACGGAGACUGACGAGUUCCCUCGCGGCCGUCCUUGCCGAUGACGUCGGCCUCCGCGGCCUCAAAUCCGAUGGUCGCCAAGGUGUCGAUUGAUCGAUACGUUUCAGCGGACGGGUCGAGCUGCCAGAAUCGAAUCGCCUGCGACGAGGGAAUGAUCAAUUUGGUAUCUCUUAAUUCACGGACGAUAGACGUUGGAUCAUCGAUGACCCGGUCCGUGAAGCAGUUUUAAUCAACGAGAGACUGGUUUUAUCUUUUUCGAGAGUUUUACCAAGCUUACGUUUUAUCGUAUUAUAUCUCGAUUUUUUUCCAUCUGUCCACUACGGAAAAGAAGUAUAACAUUAAUGAGAAGUGUCUGACAAUCUAUGCGUGACGUUGUUCCAUUGUGCAUAUACCCGCGCUUUGAGGAAUACUAUACAAUAAAUGAGUUUUAAUACUUUGGAAUUUUCAGAUUCUACUUCCACUUAAAAGUGAUUAUGAUAUACGAUACAUAUAAUAUAGUUAUUAAAUAAAUAACAUAUAUACAACUUCUUACUAAUUUAUGUAUUAAAG